UAUGAGCAAGAGGGUCUUUGCACUGGUCCGU
rnacentral:piRNA from 1 species